AAAGUGCAGAGAUGUGCUCCCCGUAAGGUCAGUGUACAGGUGGUGCAUGGUUGUCGUCAGCUCGUGUCGUGAGAUGUUGAGUUAAGUCCCGCAACGAGCGCAACCCUCGUUCCAUGUUGCCAGCACGUGAUGGUGGGGACUCAUGGGAGACUGCCGGGGUCAACUCGGAGGAAGGUGGGGAUGACGUCAAAUCAUCAUGCCCCUUAUGUCUUGGGCUUCACGCAUGCUACAAUGGCCGGUACAAGGGGCUGCGAUACCGUGAGGUGGAGCGAAUCCCAAAAAACCGGUCUCAGUUCGUAUUGGGGUCUGCAACUCGACCCCAUGAANUCNGANUCGCUANUAAUCGCAGAUCARCAACGCUGCGGUGAAUANUUC
rnacentral:rRNA from 1 species